AGUGAGACCCUGUCUCAAAAAAACAACAAACAAACAAAAAUCCAUUUUUUGUUUUGGUUUGUUUUUGUUUUUUGGGUUUUUUUUUUUUU
rnacentral:miRNA from 1 species